rnacentral:rRNA from 1 species
CCUACGGGUGGCAGCAGUGGGGAAUAUUGCACAAUGGGGGAAACCCUGAUGCAGCGACGCCGCGUGAGUGAAGAAGUAUCUCGGUACGUAAAGCUCUAUCAGCAGGGAAGAAAAUGACGGUACCUGACUAAGAAGCCCCGGCUAACUACGGGCCAGCAGCCGCGGUAAUACGUCGGGGGCAAGCGUUCUCCGGAUUUACUGGGUGUAAAGGGAGCGUAGAUGGCAGCACAAGUCUGGAGUGAAAUCCCGGGGCUUAACCCCGGAACUGCUUUGGAAACUGGGCGGCUGGAGUGCAGGAGGGGUGAGCGGAAUUGCUGGUGUAGGGGUGAAAUGCGUAGAUAUUAGGAGGAACACCAGUGGCGAAGGCGACUAACUGGACUGUAACUGACGUUGAGGAGCGAAAGCGUGGGGAGCAAACAGGAUUAGAUACCCUGGUAGUC